UGGUUGAUCCUGCCAGAGGCGACCGCUAUUGGAGUUCGAUUAAGCCAUGCGAGUCUAGAGGCCUAGCCUCGGCGUACCGCUCAGUAACACGUGGAUAACCUGCCCUACUCUGGGGAAUAACCUCGCGAAAGUGAGAAUAAUACCCCAUAGUUCACCAUGCCUGGAACGGUUGGUGGAUGAAAGCUCCGGCGGAGUAGGAUGGGUCUGCGGCGUAUCGGGUAGUAGGGGGUGUAAAGGACCUCCUAGCCUUCGACGCGUACGGGUUGUGAGAGCAAUCGCCCGGAGAUGGAUUCUGAGACACGAAUCCAGACCCCACGGGGUGCAGCAGGCGCGAAAACUUGACAAUGCGAGAAAUCGUGAUCAGGGAACUCCAAUUGGCCCACUUUUUAGUGGUGUCUGAAGCGACUCUAAACAGGUCGCGUAAUAGGGGCGGGAAAUAUCGGUGCCAGCCGCCGCGGUAAUACCGAAGCCCCAAGUGGUCGUCGUUCUU
rnacentral:rRNA from 1 species